UCGAGAAGAGAGAAGCGAAGCCCGUCCCCUUCGCGCCCUAACUUCUUCGGCCACAGCCUCGCGUUCUCCUUCCUCUUACUCCUACACCAGCAGACAAGGAGCAAUUUGAGUUUGAGCACCAACCAGCAAGUUAUAGCACAUCAAGUUUUGUGUGAAAUCAGGCUUCGCUCUACUUUGUCGGUCGCAACUUUGCUUGCUGUCCUGAGUAAAAUUCUGCCGGAG